rnacentral:rRNA from 1 species
AUACGGAGGGUGCAAGCGUUAUCCGGAUUUAUUGGGUUUAAAGGGUCUGUAGGCGGAUCUGUAAGUCAGUGGUGAAAUCUCAUAGCUUAACUAUGAAACUGCCAUUGAUACUGCAGGUCUUGAGUAAGGUAGAAGUAGCUGGAAUAAGUAGUGUAGCGGUGAAAUGCAUAGAUAUUACUUAGAACACCAAUUGCGAAGGCAGGUUACUAUGUCUUAACUGACGCUGAUGGACGAAAGCGUGGGGAGCGAACAGGAUUAGAAACCCCAGUAGUCC